GCCGCGGUGGCGGAACUGGCAGACGCGCACGGCUUAGGACCGUGUCCUUAUAGGGUGUGGGUUCAACUCCCUCCCGCGGCA
rnacentral:tRNA from 3 species